GUAGGUGGCAAGCGUUGUCCGGAAUUAUUGGGCGUAAAGCGCGCGCAGGCGGGGUCCUUUAAGUCUGAUGUGAAAGCCCACGGGCUCAACCGUGGAGGGUCAUUGGAAACUGGGGGACUUGAGUACAGAAGAGGAAAGUGGAAUUCCAAGUGUAGCGGUGAAAUGCGUAGAGAUUUGGAGGAACACCAGUGGCGAAGGCGGCUUUCUGGUCUGUAACUGACGCUGAGGCGCGAAAGCGUGGGGAGCAAACAGGAUUAGAUACCCUGGUAGUCCACGCCGUAAACGAUGAGUGCUAAGUGUUAGGGGGUUUCCGCCCCUUAGUGCUGCAGCUAACGCAUUAAGCACUCCGCCUGGGGAGUACGGCCGCAAAGGCUG
rnacentral:rRNA from 1 species